GUCAUGUGUGGUGGUGCACACCUGUAAUCCCAGCUACUUGGGAGGCUGAGGUCAGGGCAUCGCUUGAACCCAGGAGUUCUAGGCCAGCCUGGGCAACAUAGGGUGACCUUGACUCAA
rnacentral:sRNA from 1 species